rnacentral:rRNA from 1 species
UACGUAGGGGGCAAGCGUUGUCCGGAAUCAUUGGGCGUAAAGAGCACGCAGGCGGCUUACCAAGUCAGAUGUGAAAUGUCCCGGCUCAACCGGGGACCUGCAUUUGAAACUGGUAGGCUAGAGUGCAGGAGAGGGAAGUGGAAUUCCUAGUGUAGCGGUGAAAUGCGCAGAUAUUAGGAAGAACACCGGUGGCGAAGGCGGCUUCCUGGACUGUAACUGACGCUGAGGUGCGAAAGCUAGGGGAGCGAACAGG